UACGUAGGGGGCAAGCGUUGUCCGGAAUCAUUGGGCGUAAAGAGCGCGUAGGCGGCCCAGUAAGUCCGCUCUGAAAGUCAGGGGCUCAACCCCUGGAUGCGGGUGGAUACUGCUGGGCUAGAGUCCGGAAGAGGUGAGUGGAAUUCCCGGUGUAGCGGUGAAAUGCGCAGAUAUCGGGAAGAACACCCGUGGCGAAGGCGGCUCUCUGGGACGGUACUGACGCUGAGACGCGAAAGCGUGGGGAGCGAACAGG
rnacentral:rRNA from 1 species